GUCUCGGAUAGCUUAACUGGAAGAGCCCUUGGCGCGUAACCGAGAGAUCUGGGUUCGAUUCCCAGUCUGGGCU
rnacentral:tRNA from 1 species